GAUGAACGCUAGCGAUAGGCUUAACACAUGCAAGUCGAGGGGCAGCAUUGUCUUAGCUUGCUAAGACUGAUGGCGACCGGCGCACGGGUGCGUAACGCGUAUGCAACUUGCCUCACAGAGGGGGAUAACCCGUCGAAAGACGGACUAAUACCGCGUACACUCUAUUUUGGGCAUCCAAGGUAGAGGAAAUGAAAUUCGCUGUGAGAUAGGCAUGCGUCCCAUUAGCUAGUUGGUGAGGUAACGGCUCACCAAGGCGACGAUGGGUAGGGGAACUGAGAGGUUGAACCCCCACACUGGUACUGAGACACGGACCAGACUCCUACGGGAGGCAGCAGUGAGGAAUAUUGAUCAAUGGGCGAGAGCCUGAACCAGCCAAGUCGCGUGAAGGAUGACUGUCUUAUGGAUUGUAAACUUCUUUUGUAGGGGAAUAAAGAGGGGCACGUGUGCCCCAGUGAAUGUACCCUACGAAUAAGCAUCGGCUAACUCCGUG
rnacentral:rRNA from 1 species